GACGAACGCUUGCUGCGUGCCUAAUACAUGCAAGUCGAACUCAGUUGCUAACGGGUGAGUAACGCGUAGGUAACUGCCUCAUAUCGGGGGAUCACUAUUGGAAACGAUAUCUAAUCCCGCAUACUGUGAGAUGGACCUUCGUUGUUUUAGCUCGUUGGUGAGGUAAAGGCUCACCACGGCGACGAUACAUAGCCGACCUGAGAGGGGGGUCGGCCACACUGGGAAUGAGACACGGCCCAGACUCCUACGGGAGGCAGCAGUAGGGAAUCUGCGGCAAUGGACGGAAGUCUGACCGAGCAACGCCGCGUGAGUGAAGAAGAUUUUCGGAUCGUAAAGCUCUGUUGUUAGAGAAGCGGUAAAUAACCAGAAAGGGACGGCUAACUACGUGCCAGCAGCCGCGGUAAUAC
rnacentral:rRNA from 1 species